ACCAGGAGCUCGCCCCAAAUUGCGACCUUGCAGCCUCCGUGGAGUCGCUGCUGCAGCUCGCCCCAAAUCGCGAGCUUGCAGCCUCCACGAAGUCUCCGCCGCACCAGGAGCGCACCCAAAAUUGGGACUUUGCUUCCUCCAAGUCCGCUCCAGCCUCCAGGAGCUCGCGCCAAGAGUACAUAGGCUUCAGGAACUCAAGCUUAUGGGAGGAAGAGCAGGUGCACACACAGAGCGAUUCCAGAGAGCGAUUCCAGCGGCCACUCGAGCAAGAAAUGUGUGUAUCCAAGAUUGGAGGUUCCACCAACUACUUCUCCAGAAAAGACAUGUGCUGCCUUUGGUGCAAUGCCAGCGUGAUCUGCUGCAUCUAUGUCCAUUGCAUCCAAUGGACAAAUUUUCCGCUGAGAUGGGAUCAGGUGGAUCAUAUCUGGCCGGUAAAAGAUAUGAUUGUGCUCUGCCACAAAGUCAUGUAUUUGAUAUUUGUUAGUUCCCCUGUUCAAAAUAAUUCCCAUCCGUGCAUUACAUCCUGUUCUUGUUUCAGCUCGCGAAGACUUGUAUUGAUCCUCGCGUUUAUCUCUUGAUCGAUGACCUUCUUUUCCACACAAGAAUCUUGUUGAUGUCACCACUCCAUUCUUAUUUUUAUUACUAUAGUGUUUUCUAGCAUCAAA